GAUAAACGCUGGCGGCGCACAUAAGACAUGCAAGUUGAACGGACUUAAUCGAAAUAUUUCUAUUUUGAAGCGGUUAGUGGCGGACUGGUGAGUAACGCGUAAGGAACCUGCCUAUUAGAGGGGAAUAACAGUGAGAAAUCAUUGCUAAUACCGCAUAUGCCAUAGAUAUCACAUGAUAACAGUGGGAAAGGAGCAAUCCGCUAAUAGAUGGCCUUGCGUCUGAUUAGAUAGUUGGUGGGGUAACGGCCUACCAAGUCGACGAUCAGUAGCCGGACUGAGAGGUUGAACGGCCACAUUGGGACUGAGAUACGGCCCAGACUCCUACGGGAGGCAGCAGUCGGGAAUAUUGCGCAAUGGAGGAAACUCUGACGCAGUGACGCUGCGUAUAGGAAGAAGGUUUUCGGAUUGUAAACUAUUGUCGUUAGGGAAGAGAAAGGACAGUACCUAAGGAGGAAGCUCCGGCUAACUACGUG
rnacentral:rRNA from 1 species